ensembl:ncRNA F11C7.9 ncRNA
CACAAUACCGCCCUUCCUUGUCUGUGAGAGUCGUCGGAAGCGGCGCGGGGCGCGCGUCCCGCCCCCUAGGAACUUUGAAGAUUGCCUCGCGGUGGGGAGAAGGACGCCGAAUAAACUGAUUGUUCUAAAAAUAUCAUCAGGGCCGAAGGAGGGAAAGAAGGAUUGAAGUAUCGGCGACUAACGGAAUUGAGAAAUAGCAGCACCGGUGUAGAGGGUUUCGUGGUUUUCGGCGGAUGAUGGAUG